rnacentral:tRNA from 3 species
GGGCGGUUAACUCAGUGGUAGAGUGCUUCGUUCACAUCGAAGAAGUCAGAGGUUCAAAUCCUCUACCGCCCACCA